rnacentral:rRNA from 1 species
GAACGAACGCUGGCGGCAUGCCUAACACAUGCAAGUCGAACGAGACCUUCGGGUCUCGUGGCGCACGGGUGCGUAACGCGUGGGAACCUGCCCUUAGGUUCGGAAUAACUCAGAGAAAUUUGAGCUAAUACCGGAUAAUGUCUUCGGACCAAAGAUUUAUCGCCUUUGGAUGGGCCCGCGUAGGAUUAGCUUGUUGGUGGGGUAAUGGCCUACCAAGGCGACGAUCCUUAGCUGGUCUGAGAGGAUGAUCAGCCACACUGGGACUGAGACACGGCCCAGACUCCUACGGGAGGCAGCAGUGGGGAAUAUUGGACAAUGGGCGAAAGCCUGAUCCAGCAAUGCCGCGUGAGUGAUGAAGGCCUUAGGGUUGUAAAGCUCUUUUACCAGGGAUGAUAAUGACAGUACCUGGAGAAUAAGCUCCGGCUAACUCCGUG